rnacentral:rRNA from 1 species
ACCGGCAGCUCAAGUGGUGGCCAUUAUUAUUGGGCCUAAAGCGUUCGUAGCCGGUUUGAUAAGUCUCUGGUGAAAUCCCGCAGCUUAACUGUGGGACUUGCUGGAGAUACUAUCAGACUUGAGGUCGGGAGAGGUUAGGGGUACUCCCAGGGUAGGGGUGAAAUGCUAUAAUCCUGGGAGGACAAACUGUGGCGAAGGCGCCUAACUGGAACGAACCUGACGGUGAGUAACUAAAGCCAGGGGCGCGAAAGG